AAGAAAGUGUGAGGAUGAGACUACAGAGAGUUUGCAAGUUAGGGUGAAACCUCACCAAUUUCAGUGGGGCCGGGAGUUUUGCCAUUGACCUCAAUAGAGAUAGGACUUCACCCUCAGUGUCUUCAAAAGGGUGAGGGGUCCAGGUGGGACAGCACGAGUAUGAGACUGGUAGAGAGGAGGCCUUGUGGCAGAAGGGGCUAAGGCUGAGGAAAGUCAGGGGAACAAAUCCAUGGUUAGCGUUCACAGCCAAGGAUGGUCAUUUUAACUUGGUUUUACAGAGGGCUGUGGAGGUAGGGGUAGUUUUGGACUGGAAGGUCGUGUUGGCUGGAGUCGUGGAUUCCCAGGAGCACUGAGAUCAGAUAGAGGAAGGCUUGUGAAAGAGUGAAACAGAUGGCAAAGGAUGAAUGCAUGACUCAGAAUUUAAGCAGAGGAAGGUUCAAGGACCGGGAGCUGCUUUCUGCCGGCUGUUUUCCAGCCUUGAUGGCUGUCUGACACAACCUAAGGAGGUGUUCGUGUGUCAAUCUGCCCUCCGAGGGCUCAGACGUGAGCCCAGCUGCGCACCCACAGAGGGGCAUGGAGGGGAAGCAGCUGCUGACAGGCAAGUGAGCCGCGCCCGCAUCCCCCCGUGGAGGCAGGACCUUGGCUCAUCCCCAACACGCACUGGCGAGCUGGUGCAGCGGGGGAGGUCAGACGGACCCGCUGAAGGCUGGCGCCGGUUCUGUGCCGCCCGCAGCAGAGUCCGCUUCAGCGGAUGCGCUCUCCGGCUUUACCCCGAGAACACAGCGCGGCGCCCGGGGAGCCGGGCCGCUGCAGCGCGGAGCAGACGCUGACGGGCACUCGCUGAGUUCAGGUGGGCAACAGCCCAGGGCGGAUAAACUAGACUAAUUCAGCGACCAGCCCUGCCCAGGCUUCAUGCGUUCCUUGCAGCCCCACCCUCCAGGAAAAGUCAAAUCACUCCUUCCUCUCCUGCCCUGGGGGCAGGGCGGAGAUGUGCUUCCCCUUCUCCAGAAUGGGGGGUAGGGUCCGCCCAGCCCAGGGUCCAAUCCAACACGAAGAGGUCCCUGCCCCUCCCACGUGAGCCUUGGAGUUCCUCACCCCUUGGUCCCCUGAUCCCUCGCCCGUCGGGGGAGGAUGCGUGGCGGCUUUUGCUGCUGAUUGUUUGCUGUUCCCGCACCUCCGACAAGCCCAGAGCUUCCGCUUGAGCCAGACAAACUGUUGCUGUCUGUCCUUUGCCUUCUGCUUUCCCACAACGCCCCUUCCAGCCAAGCUCCGGACACUCUUCCUUGUUCAUAACCUCUGCCACCACCACUGUGGCCAGCCAGGCAGCCGUGAACGUGAGAACUGAGGAAUGGAGGGCGACAGAUGCUGCAGGCCUUCGCUGACCGGAUACGUGCAGUGGAGUGCUGGUUCUGGCCCGUGAAACGAGCACGGAUCCUGAUGCAAAUACAGGCCCAUCAGCAGUGGCUGCAGCACUUUUGGUUGCAGAAGGCCACAUUUCUGGAGUGGUGCGCCGAACCCACCGCGGUCCUCCAGUGGAGAAAAGGAUAGUGAUUGGAGUUGCAAGCUUCCCGAGUGAGGGUUGCUAUCGGUUGGUGGCCAGGCAUUUCAGUCCACUCAUCCCCUACCUCUUUCCUGGAAAAUCUGCGUUGAGGGCAGUCAUCAUCUGGGUACACAAGGCCAUAAAACAUAUCCGGCUUCACAGCACUGUGACACUGGGAAACGGGCAGGAUAUAACAGAUGGAAUUGAGGAAAUGGGCUUCCCUAACUGUGCUGGGGCGAUAGACAGGAUCCCGAUUCUGACCCCACCCACCUGAGUACAUAAACAGAACUAGGCAAUUUUCCAUGUUUGUGCGAGCCUACGUGGAUCACCGGGGACAUUUCACUGAUAUUAACAAUAGGUGGAUGGGGGAGGCGCAUGAGGAAUAGGGCUGUCUUUCAAAGGAAGAGAUUUUGUAAAGAAAAAUUUUAAAAAAUGGGAAAGAACAGAUAGAGGCUAGUGGAGUGAACAUCCCCAUCAUGCCUGCCACACCCCCCGCCUCUCCUGGGACCUCCGGUCCUUUGUCCUCCUGCUCCUGGGAGGUAUCCUGAUCAGAACAGGCUGAAAAGAGAGGGACCCAGAUGACAUGGCCACCCCUACUGGCUCCAGCUGACUCCCCCACACCUCCUGGGAUGACAGUUACCAUCUGUGAUACCACCUCCAAGGGGUUUUUCCUUCUAGAAGCCUUUCCAGCUAAAGGGAAAGAAAACAAAAAGUGGUGGUAAAAAGAGAGCCUGAUUUAAUACUUUACAUUAGAAAUGCUUUAACAGCAGGAGAGUGA